ACGAACGCUGGCGGCGUGCUUAACACAUGCAAGUCGAACGGAAAGGCCCUUCGGGGUACUCGAGUGGCGAACGGGUGAGUAACACGUGGGUGAUCUGCCCUGCACUUUGGGAUAAGCCUGGGAAACUGGGUCUAAUACCGAAUAUGAUCAUCGGCUUCAUGGUCGGUGGUGGAAAGCUUUUGCGGUGUGGGAUGGGCCCGCGGCCUAUCAGCUUGUUGGUGGGGUAAUGGCCUACCAAGGCGACGACGGGUAGCCGGCCUGAGAGGGUGACCGGCCACACUGGGACUGAGAUACGGCCCAGACUCCUACGGGAGGCAGCAGUGGGGAAUAUUGCACAAUGGGCGCAAGCCUGAUGCAGCGACGCCGCGUGAGGGAUGACGGCCUUCGGGUUGUAAACCGCUUUCAGCACAGACGAAGCGCAAGUGACGGUAUGUGCAGAAGAAGGACCGGCCAACUACGU
rnacentral:rRNA from 1 species